rnacentral:rRNA from 1 species
GGAUGAGCCCGCGGCCUAUCAGCUUGUUGGUGAGGUAACGGCUCACCAAGGCGACGACGGGUAGCCGGCCUGAGAGGGCGACCGGCCACACUGGGACUGAGACACGGCCCAGACUCCUACGGGAGGCAGCAGUGGGGAAUAUUGCACAAUGGGCGAAAGCCUGAUGCAGCGGCGCCGCGUGAGGGAUGACGGCCUUCGGGUUGUAAACCUCUUUCAGCAGGGAAGAAGCGAAAGUGACGGUACCUGCAGAAGAAGCGCCGGCUAACUACGUGACAGCAGCCGCGGCCG